AGAGUUUGAUCCUGGCUCAGAUUGAACGCUGGCGGCAUGCUUUACACAUGCAAGUCGAACGGCAGCAUAGAGAGCUUGCUCUCUGAUGGCGAGUGGCGAACGGGUGAGUAAUACAUCGGAACGUGUCCGUUUGUGGGGGACAACCACCCGAAAGGGUGGCUAAUACCGCAUAAGACCUGAGGGUGAAAGCCGGGGACCGCAAGGCCUGGCGCGAACGGAGCGGCCGAUGACUGAUUAGCUGGUUGGCGGGGUAACGGCCCACCAAGGCGACGAUCAGUAGCUGGUCUGAGAGGACGACCAGCCACACUGGAACUGAGACACGGUCCAGACUCCUACGGGAGGCAGCAGUGGGGAAUUUUGGACAAUGGGGGCAACCCUGAUCCAGCCAUGCCGCGUGCGGGAAGAAGGCCUUCGGGUUGUAAACCGCUUUUGUCAGGGACGAAAAGGUGCGGGUUAAGAGCUAGCACUGAUGACGGUACCUGAAGAAUAAGCACCGGCUAACUACGUGCCAGCAGCCGCGGUAAUACGUAGGGUGCGAGCGUUAAUCGGAAUUACUGGGCGUAAAGCGUGCGCAGGCGGUUGGGUAAGACAGAUGUGAAAUCCCCGGGCUUAACCUGGGAACUGCAUUUGUGACUGUCCGACUGGAGUAUGUCAGAGGGGGGUGGAAUUCCAAGUGUAGCAGUGAAAUGCGUAGAUAUUUGGAAGAACACCGAUGGCGAAGGCAGCCCCCUGGGGCAAAACUGACGCUCAUGCACGAAAGCGUGGGGAGCAAACAGGAUUAGAUACCCUGGUAGUCCACGCCCUAAACGAUGUCUACUGGUUGUUGGAGGGUAAAACCUUCAGUAACGAAGCUAACGCGUGAAGUAGACCGCCUGGGGAGUACGGUCGCAAGAUUAAAACUCAAAGGAAUUGACGGGGACCCGCACAAGCGGUGGAGCAUGUGGUUUAAUUCGAUGCAACGCGAAGAACCUUACCUGGUCUUGACAUCCACGGAAGUUUUCAGAGAUGAGAAUGUGCCUUCGGGAACCGUGAGACAGGUGCUGCAUGGCUGUCGUCAGCUCGUGUUGUGAAAUGUUGGGUUAAGUCCCGCAACGAGCGCAACCCUUAUCCUUUGUUGCCAGCGGUCCGGCCGGGAACUCAAAGGAGACUGCCAGUGAUAAACUGGAGGAAGGUGGGGAUGACGUCAAGUCAUCAUGGCCCUUACGACCAGGGCUACACACGUGCUACAAUGGCGCAUACAAAGAGAAGCGACCUCGCGAGAGCAAGCGGACCUCAUAAAGUGCGUCGUAGUCCGGAUUGGAGUCUGCAACUCGACUCCAUGAAGUCGGAAUCGCUAGUAAUCGUGGAUCAGAAUGCCACGGUGAAUACGUUCCCGGGCCUUGUACACACCGCCCGUCACACCAUGGGAGUGGGUUGCAAAAGAAGUAGGUAGCUUAACCUUCGGGAGGGCGCUUACCACUUUGUGAUUCAUGACUGGGGUGAAGUCGUAACAAGGUAACCGUAGGGGAACCUGCGGUUG
rnacentral:rRNA from 1 species